rnacentral:rRNA from 1 species
UACGAAGGGAGCUAGCGUUGUUCGGAAUCACUGGGCGUAAAGCGCACGUAGGCGGAUCUUUAAGUCAGGGGUGAAAUCCUGGAGCUCAACUCCAGAACUGCCUUUGAUACUGGAGAUCUCGAGUCCGGAAGAGGUGAGUGGAACUCCGAGUGUAGAGGUGAAAUUCGUAGAUAUUCGGAAGAACACCAGUGGCGAAGGCGGCUCACUGGUCCGGUACUGACGCUGAGGUGCGAAAGCGUGGGGAGCAAACAGGG